rnacentral:rRNA from 1 species
AUUGAACGCUGGCGGAAUGCUUUACACAUGCAAGUCGAACGGUAGAGGGGGCAACCCCUUGAGAGUGGCGAACGGGUGAGUAAUAUAUCGGAACGUGCCCAGUCGUGGGGAUAACGUAGCGAAAGUUACGCUAAUACCGCAUACGAUCUAAGGAUGAAAGCGGGGGACUCGCAAGAGCCUCGCGCGAUUGGAGCGGCCGAUAUCAGAUUAGGUAGUUGGUGGGGUAAAGGCUCACCAAGCCGACGAUCUGUAGCUGGUCUGAGAGGACGACCAGCCACACUGGGACUGAGACACGGCCCAGACUCCUACGGGAGGCAGCAGUGGGGAAUUUUGGACAAUGGGCGCAAGCCUGAUCCAGCAAUGCCGCGUGCAGGAUGAAGGCCUGGUGUAAACGUGACUUUGUACGGUAACGAAACGGUA